rnacentral:rRNA from 1 species
CCUUGACAUACUAAGAACUUUCCAGAGAUGGAUUGGUGCCUUCGGGAACUUAGAUACAGGUGCUGCAUGGCUGUCGUCAGCUCGUGUCGUGAGAUGUUGGGUUAAGUCCCGNAACGAGCGCAACCCUUUUCCUAUUUGCCAGCGGGUCAUGCCGGGAACUUUAAGGAUACUGCCAGUGACAAACUGGAGGAAGGCGGGGACGACGUCAAGUCAUCAUGGCCCUUACGGCCAGGGCUACACACGUGCUACAAUGGUCGGUACAAAGGGUUGCUACCUCGCGAGAGGAUGCUAAUCUCAAAAAGCCGAUCGUAGUCCGGAUCGCAGUCUGCAACUCGACUGCGUGAAGUCGAAAUCGCUAGUAAUCGCGGAUCAGAAUGCCGCGGUGAAUACGUUCCCGGGCCUUGUACACACCGCCCGUCACACCAUGGGAGUUUGUUGCACCAGAAGUAGGUAGUCUAACCGCAAGGAGGACGCUUACCACGGUGUGGCCGAUGACUGGGGUGAAGUCGUAACAAGGUAAGCGUAGAUGA